rnacentral:rRNA from 1 species
GACGAACGCUGGCGGCGUGCCUAAUACAUGCAAGUAGAACGCUGAGGUUUGGUGUUUACACUAGACUGAUGAGUUGCGAACGGGUGAGUAACGCGUAGGUAACCUGCCUCAUAGCGGGGGAUAACUAUUGGAAACGAUAGCUAAUACCGCAUAAGAGUAAUUAACACAUGUUGGUUAUUUAAAAGGAGCAAUUGCUUCACUGUGAGAUGGACCUGCGUUGUAUUAGCUAGUUGGUGAGGUAAAGGCUCACCAAGGCGACGAUACAUAGCCGACCUGAGAGGGUGAUCGGCCACACUGGGACUGAGACACGGCCCAGACUCCUACGGGAGGCAGCAGUAGGGAAUCUUCGGCAAUGGACGGAAGUCUGACCGAGCAACGCCGCGUGAGUGAAGAAGGUUUUCGGAUCGUAAAGCUCUGUUGUUAGAGAAGAACGUUGGUAGGAGUGGAAAAUCUACCAAGUGACGGUAACUAACCAGAAAGGGACGGCUAACUACGUGCCAGCAGCCGCGGUAAUACGUAGGUCCCGAGCGUUGUCCGGAUUUAUUGGGCGUAAAGCGAGCGCAGGCGGUUCUUUAAGUCUGAAGUUAAAGGCAGUGGCUUAACCAUUGUACGCUUUGGAAACUGGAGGACUUGAGUGCAGAAGGGGAGAGUGGAAUUCCAUGUGUAGCGGUGAAAUGCGUAGAUAUAUGGAGGAACACCGGUGGCGAAAGCGGCUCUCUGGUCUGUAACUGACGCUGAGGCUCGAAAGCGUGGGGAGCAAACAGGAUUAGAUACCCCGGUAGUCCACGCCGUAAACGAUGAGUGCUAGGUGUUAGGCCCUUUCCGGGGCUUAGUGCCGCAGCUAACGCAUUAAGCACUCCGCCUGGGGAGUACGACCGCAAGGUUGAAACUCAAAGAAAUUGACGGGGGCCCGCACAAGCGGUGGAGCAUGUGGUUUAAUUCGAAGCAACGCGAAGAACCUUACCAGGUCUUGACAUCCCUCUGACCGGCCUAGAGAUAGGCUUUCUCUUCGGAGCAGAAGUGACAGGUGGUGCAUGGUUGUCGUCAGCUCGUGUCGUGAGAUGUUGGGUUAAGUCCCGCAACGAGCGUAACCCCUAUUGUUAGUUGCCAUCAUUAAGUUGGGCACUCUAGUGAGACUGCCGGUAAUAAACCGGAGGAAGGUGGGGAUGACGUCAAAUCAUCAUGCCCCUUAUGACCUGGGCUACACACGUGCUACAAUGGUUGGUACAACGAGUCGCAAGCCGGUGACGGCAAGCUAAUCUCUUAAAGCCAAUCUCAGUUCGGAUUGUAGGCUGCAACUCGCCUACAUGAAGUCGGAAUCGCUAGUAAUCGCGGAUCAGCACGCCGCGGUGAAUACGUUCCCGGGCCU